GGCUUGUUGAUAAUAAUUUCAAGUCUAACCUGCCCAAUGAAAAAAUUUAAUGGCCGCGGUAAAUUGACCGUGCAAAGGUAGCAUAAUCAUUAGUUUUUUAAUUGAAAGCUUGUAUGAAAGGUUGAAUGAGAAAAUUUCUGUCUCUGGAAAAAUUUAUUAGAAUUUUAUUUUUAAGUUAAAAAGCUUAAAUGUGUAUAGAAGACGAGAAGACCCUAUAGAGUUUUAUAUUUAAAUUAAAUAUUCUAAUUUUAGGUGUAUAAAAUGUGUUUUUAAUUUAUAUAUUUAAUUGGGGUGAUGGAAAAAUUUAAUUAACUUUUUUUGUAAAAAGACAUUAAUUUAUGAAUUGAUGAUCCUAUUAUUUAGAUUAGAAGACUAAAUUACCUUAGGGAUAACAGCGUAAUUUUUCUUAGAGUUCUUAUCGAAAGAAAGGAUUGCGACCUCGAUGUUGGAUUAAAAUAAAUUAUUGGUGUAGGAGCUAAUGGAUUAGGUCUGUUCGACCUUUAAAAUUUUACAUGAUCUGAGUUUAAACCGGUGUGAG
rnacentral:rRNA from 1 species